rnacentral:rRNA from 1 species
CGCGGCCUAUCAGCUUGUUGGUGAGGUAACGGCUCACCAAGGCGAAGAUGCCUAGCUGGUGUGAGAGCAUGACCAGCGCCACUGGGACUGAGACACUGCCCAGACUCCUACGGGAGGCUGCAGUCGAGAAUCUUCCGCAAUGGACGAAAGUCUGACGGAGCGACGCCGCGUGCGGGACGAAGGCCUUCGGGUUGUAAACCGCUGUCAGGGGGGAACAAACAAUGAGUGAUCCCCAAAGGAAGCGCGGGCUAAGUUCGUGCCAGCAGCCGCGGCAAGACGAACCGUGCGAACGUUGUUCGGAAUCACUGGGCUUAAAGGGCGCGUAGGCGGGCAGCCAAGUCAGCGGUGAAAUCCUCCGGCUCAACCGGAGAAGUGCCCCUGAUACCGGCUGCCUCGAGGGAGGUAGGGGCAGAUGGAACUUCCUGUGGAGCGGUGAAAUGUGUAGAUACAGGAAGGAACGCCGGUGGCGAAAGCGAUCUGCUGGACCUCUUCUGACGCUGAGGCGCGAAAGCUAGGGGAGCGAAGAGGAUUAGAUACCCUCGUAGUCCUAGCCUUAAACGAUGGGCACUGAGUAGUGGGCAUGCAUGGGCUCACUGCUGUAGCAAAAGUGGUAAGUGCCCCGCCUGGGGAGUACGG